UCUUUUUUGAAACGGAGUUUGCCUCUUGUUGCCUAGGCUGAAGUUCAAUGGCAUGAUCUCACUGACUGAAACCUCUGCCUCCGAAGUUCAAGAGAUUCUCCUGCCUCAGCCUCCCAAGUAGCUAGGAUUACAUGUAUUUUUAGUAGACAUGGGUUUUCACCAUGUUGGCCAGGCUGCUCUUGAACUCCUGACUCAGGUUUAAUUGUACAGAGAGAGAGCCUAGAACAGGAGAAACAUACCAAGGCAAGACAGCAUUUUAAAUAUGUUGUUCCAAUGUCAUCUGUUCUUAAUGGUUUCUGAUGUCACAUCCACCAUCAUUUGAAUCAUUGUUCCACCACAGCAGUUCUGUCUCUCUUGCUACCUUGUGAAGAAGAAUUCAACCGCUUCGCCUUCCACCGUGAUUACGUUUCCUGAAGCAUUCCUAGCCACGUGGAACUGUGAGUCAAUUAAAUCCUUUUCCUUUAUAAAUUACCCAAUUUCAAGUAUUUCUUCAUAGAAGCUUGAGAAGGAACUAUUAGCCUGGUGCAAAGGUAAUUGUAGUUUGUGCCAUUGUUUUUAAAGUAAGGGUCAAACCUGCAAUUACUUCCACACCAACCUAAUAAUACAUAUACUAUCCAGACUUCUUGGUUUUCAAAAGUUUCUCUGUUGUAAACACUCCAAUGAUAGUAUAAUCGCAUUGCUAUUUUUCUUUUAGAAGUUUAUUUGCCAAAAUCCAUAACAUAGAAGAAGAUAGAAAUAAUUGGUGCUUAAUUGGUUUACAGUUAUAUCAGAGGCAAUCAUAGUAUGAGUGAAGACCUCAUAAGGAUAGAAUCAUAUCAGUAAUGUUUAUAUCUUCUGUGAAUUAUUAUGAAGCUUUAGU
rnacentral:lncRNA from 1 species